GAAACCUCUCUCCUCUGAGCCAAAAGCUCAGAGCUAUCUCUUAAUCAUCUCAUCCAAAACCUUCAAAUUCCAAAUCUCCUUAUCUUCAUCUCAUUCAAUUGCUUCCCCGAUUUGAAUCCCAAACUUCAAUUCAACUCUACCAUCUCCAGUUCACCGUAUUUUUCUACCAAAAUGGCAUUCCUUGGCUGCUGUUAGCCUUUUCUAGGUCGUCUUUCUUUGUCUCUGAGACCGCACAACACCAAAUCUUCACCUUCCUAUUUCAAUUUUCUCUUGUGGGGAUCUGCGUCACCCUAGGGUUUUCCUAUUUCAUGGCCCAAAACCUAGCCUCCCCCGCUAGUGGCUAUGUUGUCCACCAAUGCUGGGUUAGAUCUCUCCUGUUCGAUACCAACCAGAAGGCCAAUCUCGACCCCUCCGACGCCAUAACUGCGGCAAGGUUCUCUGAAAGGAAGAAGAAGAAGUCAUUGAAGAUGAGAAAGUUCAAUGCUUGGCUUGUGUUCUUCAUGCGCGAGUGGAAUUGGAAUUGGCCUUUCCUCGUCGGCUUCGCUAUCACCGGGAUUCUCAUCACCAAGUUCUCUCUCUGUCUCACUGGGUACUCCACUCCAUUUCUCUUUCUCAUUCUAUGAAUAUGAGUCCCUUUAAGUGAGCUAGGGUUUUGAUUUGAUUUGUUUCAGGGUUCUAAUUUUGCAAAGGAGGAUGCGAAGAACUCGCCUUUUGUACAGAGGCACAAGAACUCUGGUGCAGGAAGUGGUGGUCAAGUUGCCAAAGAUGCUCUAGGAAACGAUGCAAUUGCAGCAGAAUGGCUUCAGACUCAUGGGCCUGGUGACAAGACUCUCUCACAUAUACCUAAAUGAGGAUAAAUCACGGUUUGCUCUAUAUAAGGAGAAAGAGUUUAAAGUUGCAGUUCUCCUUAUUUUUGACAAUAGGCAGGAAGUAAAAAAUGUAUGAUAGGAGAUUUGGAGUUCGCUAGAAAAGCUCUGCCUAUAUGAUCAAAGAACACGAAUUCUGGAAUUCAGGUACUCAUAUGGUAGUUAUUCAGGAUUUGUAAUCACACUUUAAGUAGAUAUUAUGCAAUGUGAAACCAACCCAGGCCUAAUUCUUCAACCACUGACAAGGAACUUGCUUCUAUGAUCGAAAGUGUUUCCGAGAAACAACAUUUUACCGCAAAAUGGCUUCAACUGCCGAGAUUGGAUGGGAUUUUAGUACAAGAUGGAUGAGGUAGAUUUUUGAAACAGGGAGAAGUAAUUGAUUUAGCAUUUAUACUCCUACAUUAACAAUUUAUUGAAAGCACAAUAGAGAAUGUUUUGAGUUUGUCUUUCAUGUCACUGCACAAGAUUAUGAGAAGUAAACGAGGCAGGUCAUUUAAUUGAAGAGCUUGCUCUUGUUUCCGUGCAAGAGCCAUAUAUGUAGGAGUGGACUGAGCAAUUGGAAAGCAGUGACCGAUUUAUGUAGGAGCCAUAUAUGUAGCAUCUGCAUAUAUAUGUGCAUAUUUUUGGAACAAGUAUAUAUUGUAUCUACUUUUAUUGUUUAUCAUUGUUAGUUAAAAUGCAGCAGUCAUCAAGCUGCUGUCUUCUUUUUUUGUUUCAUUGUAUAGAUACUUGAAUGUAUGGAUGAUUGACAAAUGCUAGC